rnacentral:tRNA from 1 species
GAUUUAGCUCAGCGGUAUAAGCACCUGCCUUGCAAGCAGGCGGUUGUGAGUUUGAUUCUUGGUAAAAUCA